GACCCAGCCCACAGCACUGGAGCGUCUUGAAAUUUUGUAAAACUCCAAGUGUCCCUCGAAGCCAAGAUAGCACAGAAGGGCGCGGCUUCCACCAAGGAACAAUGAGAAACCGAACAAAACCGAGUCCCAGGACAGACGCCUGGAGCGCCUGCAACAGAGCGCGUUUGAGGACCCGGAGCUUAAGGACACUUCAGUCUCGACGCCCAGCGCGCAGCGCGCAGGUGGAACCACUGCUCUGGAGCACGUCACGAGCUUAGUCAAGAGUUUCAUGCUAUGUUGUAAGAUGGUGAGAAUGGGAGAGAAAGAAGAAUAGAGAUGACUUGGAGGAUAUGAAAGUUAAGAAGAGCCCAAUGAGGAUCCCCAAUGCAAAUCUGAAACAUAAUUUGUGUUAGAACAGUAAGUUUUAGAAUUCUGCCGGUGUGUUCUGCCAAGGAAAAAUAAUAAGGUCCAAAUAAAGAGAGAAUCUGGGAAGGCGAUAUACUUCGCAGUAGUUUCUGGUGCAUUUAUAAUCACCCUUGGUCAUGUUGAGCAGCAGACACACUGAGGGCAACCUUCUCCAGAGGAAAGUGGAAA
rnacentral:lncRNA from 1 species